AAUUUCAGUCCUAAUAAGUUCAUUCCUUAUAUAGUUUUAUUUUUGCUUUGAUAUUUUAAAUUGAAUAUAAAAGAAAAAAAUAUUAUAUAUUAAGUCAGGAGCUCAUUAAUUUUAUGAAAAGCAACUAAACAGAUGUAGAGAUAAGUGAAAUAAAAUAGUGGAGAUGCUGGAUCCCAUACUCAAAAACUUGUUAAAGUAGCCAAGUAACAACAAGAACAUACUAGGUUAGUGAUUUGCUAUACCGGACAAG
rnacentral:lncRNA from 1 species